UCUCUCCUGUCAAGUAUAUGUAUUUAAAUAUUUGUUCGUACUUUUACUGUUCUUGCAUUAUUAAGAUAUUACUCGCCUGGAUCUUGUUUGAACUUUUGUGUUCUAGUGCUAAUCUUAAGUCUGCCCUUGCUUCUUUUUCUUCCUUUUUAUGCUUUCCUUGAUCAAAUGAACUAACUGGCAAUGAAGUCACUUCUUCAUAUUGUGAACUAGACUUGUUCACUUUUACUAUGUAUGAAACUGGAUCUGUCCUUGGCAUCAGAUAAAGUCACUGAUUAACAAUACACUGUUGUUAUUGGUAACACAAAACUAUAGCGUUAUGACCUUCAAAUCACACAGAAUAAUUGUCAAUAAAUCAUGGAAAUACUUCAACCCAUGUAAUGUUGCCAGAUUUUAUGAUCAAUCUCCUCAUUCCAACUGAUGGAAAGUAAGCAUCCCUGCAUAUUGACUUGUGGACCUACUUUUCCAUGGACAGGCUCAAAAAGUUUUGAUCCAUUUUUAUAAAUUGGCAAAAACAUC
rnacentral:lncRNA from 1 species